rnacentral:tRNA from 1 species
GCCGAUGUGGCGGAAUGGUAGACGCGGUAGAUUCAAAAUCUACUCCGAGCAAUCGGGUGUUGGUUCGAAUCCAAUCAUCGGCA